rnacentral:rRNA from 1 species
AAUUCGCCCUUAGAGUUUGAUCCUGGCUGAGGAUGAACGCUAGCGGCAGGCCUAAUACAUGCAAGUCGAGGGGUAGUUGGGGCUUGCUCCAAUGAGACCGGCGCACGGGUGCGUAACGCGUAUGCAACCUACCUUCAUCAGGGGGAUAGCCCGGAGAAAUCCGGAUUAACACCGCAUAAAAUCACAGCACGGCAUUGUGCAAUGAUCAAAUAUUUAUAGGAUGGAGAUGGGCAUGCGUGCCAUUAGCUAGUUGGCGGGGUAAGGGCCCACCAAGGCUACGAUGGCUAGGGGAUCUGAGAGGAUGGCCCCCCACACUGGUACUGAGACACGGACCAGACUCCUACGGGAGGCAGCAGUAAGGAAUAUUGGUCAAUGGGGGCAACCCUGAACCAGCCAUGCCGCGUGCAGGAAGACAGCCCUACGGGUCGUAAACUGCUUUUGCACGGGAAUAAACCCCGCCACGUGUGGCGGACUGAACGUACCGUGAGAAUAAGGAUCGGCUAACUCCGUGCCAGCAGCCGCGGUAAUACGGAGGAUCCGAGCGUUAUCCGGAUUUAUUGGGUUUAAAGGGUGCGUAGGCGGCCUGUUAAGUCAGGGGUGAAAGACGGUAGCUCAACUAUCGCAGUGCCCUUGAUACUGACGGGCUUGAAUGGACUAGAGGUGGGCGGAAUGAGACAAGUAGCGGUGAAAUGCAUAGAUAUGUCUCAGAACACCGAUUGCGAAGGCAGCUCACUAUGGUUCUAUUGACGCUGAGGCACGAAAGCGUGGGGAUCGAACAGGAUUAGAUACCCUGGUAGUCCACGCCCUAAACGAUGAACACUCGCUGUCGGCGAUACACAGUCGGCGGCUAAGCGAAAGCGUUAAGUGUUCCAUCUGGGGAGUACGGUCGCAAGAUUGAAACUCAAAGGAAUUGACGGGGGCCCGCACAAGCGGAGGAGCAUGUGGUUUAAUUCGAUGAUACGCGAGGAACCUUACCCGGGCUUGAAAGUUAGUGAAGUGCCCAGAGAUGGGCGCGUCCGCAAGGACACGAAACUAGGUGCUGCAUGGCUGUCGUCAGCUCGUGCCGUGAGGUGUUGGGUUAAGUCCCGCAACGAGCGCAACCCCUAUGUCUAGUUGCCAGCACGUUAUGGUGGGGACUCUAGACAGACUGCCUGUGCAAACAGAGAGGAAGGAGGGGACGACGUCAAGUCAUCAUGGCCCUUACGUCCGGGGCUACACACGUGCUACAAUGGACGGUACAGAGGGCAGCUACACGGCAACGUGAUGCGAAUCUCUCAAAGCCGUUCACAG